rnacentral:misc_RNA from 1 species
UUUCCGUAGGUGAACCUGCGGAAGGAUCAUUAAUGAGUUGUCAUGGGGUUCGAUGCUGGCAGCCAGUUUUUGGAUGCAUGUGCUUGCCCUAACAAUCAUCUUCUUCCAAACACCUGUGCACAUUUUUGAGGGAGUCUUGAGUUGGUUGCCGCUCUUGGGUGAUUUUCUCACAUUCCCUUAAAUCAUUAUACGCUAUUAACAAUGUUGAACGUGCUCUGUGCCGCAAGGCCAUUAAUAUAAUACAACUUUUAACAACGGAUCUCUCGGCUCUCGCAUCGAUGAAGAACGCAGU